rnacentral:rRNA from 1 species
UACGGAGGGUGCAAGCGUUGUUCGGAAUCAUUGGGCGUAAAGCGUACGUAGGCGGUCUAAUAAGUCUGGUGUGAAAGCCCGGGGCUCAACCUCGGAAUGCCACUGGAAACUGUUAGACUUGAGAGUGAGAGGGGAUAGUGGAAUUCCUGGUGUAGGGGUGAAAUCCGUAGAGAUCAGGAGGAACACCGGUGGCGAAGGCG